CCUCUGUGGUUAAGGAACUCGGCAAAUUGCCCCCGUAACUUCGGGAGAAGGGGGGCCUCCGCUGGUGAUCAGACUUGCUUUGUGAGCUGGUGGGGGUCGCAGAGGCCAGGGGGAAGCGACUGUUUACUAAAAACACAGGUCCGUGCGAAGUCGUAAGACGAUGUAUACGGACUGACGCCUGCCCGGUGCUGGAACGUUAAGGGGACCGGUUAGCGCGCCUUCGGGUGUGCGAGGCUGAGAACUUAAGCGCCAGUAAACGGCGGUGGUAACUAUAACCAUCCUAAGGUAGCGAAAUUCCUUGUCGGGUAAGUUCCGACCUGCACGAAUGGCGUAACGACUUCCCCGCUGUCUCAACCGCAGACCCGGCGAAAUUGCACUACGAGUAAAGAUGCUCGUUACGCGCAGCAGGACGGAAAGACCCCGGGACCUUCACUACAGCUUGACAUUGGCGUUUGGAACGUCUUGUGUAGGAUAGGUGGGAGACUGUGAAGCUGUCACGCUAGUGGUGGUGGAGUCAUUGGUGAAAUACCACUCUGGUCGUUUUGAACGUCUAACUUCGGUCCGUGAUCCGGAUCAGGGACAGUGUCUGGUGGGUAGUUUAACUGGGGCGGUUGCCUCCUAAAGAGUAACGGAGGCGCCCAAAGGUUCCCUCAGCCUGGUUGGUAAUCAGGUGUCGAGUGUAAGUGCACAAGGGAGCUUGACUGUGAGACCGACGGGUCGAGCAGGAGCGAAAGCUGGGACUAGUGAUCCGGCGGUGGCAUGUGGAAGCGCCGUCGCUCAACGGCUAAAAGGUACCCCGGGGAUAACAGGCUGAUCUUCCCCAAGAGUCCAUAUCGACGGGAUGGUUUGGCACCUCGAUGUCGGCUCGUCGCAUCCUGGGGCUGGAGUAGGUCCCAAGGGUUGGGCUGUUCGCCCAUUAAAGCGGUACGCGAGCUGGGUUUAGAACGUCGCGAGACAGUUCGGUCCCUAUCCGCUGCGCGCGCAGGAGACUUGAAAGGAGCUGUCCCUAGUACGAGAGGACCGGGACGGACGAACCUCUGGUGUGCCAGUUGUUCCGCCAGGAGCAUGGCUGGUUGGCUACGUUCGGAAGGGAUAACCGCUGAAAGCAUCUAAGCGGGAAGCUCGCCUUGAGAUGAGGUCUCCCACCACGUGAGUGGGUAAGGCCCCCGGGAGACGACCGGGUUGAUAGGCCGGAGGUGGAAGCACGGUAACGUGUGGAGCUGACCGGUACUAAUAGGCCGAGGACUUGACCAA
rnacentral:rRNA from 1 species